rnacentral:rRNA from 1 species
GACGAACGCUGGCGGCGUGCUUAACACAUGCAAGUCGAACGGAAAGGCCCUGCAUUUGUGCGGUUCUGGAGUGCCGAAAGCGGGAGUGACACGUGUGUAACCUGCCCUUGACUUUGGGGUAACUUCAGGAAACUGGAGCUAAUAUCGGAUAGGAGCUCCUGCUGCAUGGUGGGGAGGGGAAAGUUGCGGCGGUUGGGGAUGGACUCGCGGCUUAUCAGCUUGUUGGUGGGGUAGUCGUUUACCAAGGCUGGGACGGGUAGCCGGCAUGGGAGGGUGACCGGCGACAAUGGGCCUGAGAGAGGGACCAGAGUGCAACAGGGGGCAGCAGUGGGGAAUAUUGCCCAAUGGGCGGAAGCCUGAUACAGCAACGCCGCGUGUGGGAUGACGGUUUGUGGGUUGUAAACCGCAUUCGCAUGUGACGCAGCGUGAGUGACGGUAACGGGUAAAGAAGCACCGGCUAACUACGUG